GUAAGGGGGUUAGGUGCCUUGCUCAAGGGCACUACAGCCUCGGAUGUGGGCAUGGAAGAGCAGUGCUCAACCACUUCCCCUGCCCACAUUUUUCCUACUGAUCGAGUGUGAGAUCAGCCAUUCAGACACCUGAGGGGUAGGCUAUUCCAAGUAGGCUACGUGGUUGAGUGACAAACCUGAGUAAAUUGACUUCGAGUAGAAGAGCUGAUACAGGAAACAUGGUUGUGUGUAUUUUAAUAACCAUA